AAUGAACGCUGGCGGCGUGGAUAAGACAUGCAAGUCGAACGAAGAAGUAAUUAGUUUACUAAGGGCUUCUUAGUGGCGGACGGGUUAGUAACACGUGAGUAACUUGCCUCAAAGAGGGGGAUAGUCCUGGGAAACUGGGUUUAAUACCGCAUAUGCUCUACGGAGUAAAGGUGGCUUCGGCUAUCGCUUUGAGAUAGGCUCGCGUCCUAUCAGCUAGUUGGUGAGGUAAAAGCUCACCAAGGCGACGACGGGUAGUUGGUCUGAGAGGAUGAUCAGCAACACUGGAACUGAGACACGGUCCAGACACCUACGGGUGGCAGCAGUCGAGAAUCAUUCACAAUGGGGGCAACCCUGAUGGUGCAACGCCGCGUGGAGGAUGAAGGCCCUAGGGUCGUAAACUCCUGUCAUCAAAGAGUAAGGCAUAGUCGUUAAAAGCUGCUAUGCUUGAUAGUAUUUGAAGAGGAAGGGACGGCUAACUUCG
rnacentral:rRNA from 1 species